GACGAACGCUGGCGGCGUGCUUAACACAUGCGAGUCGAACGCUGAAGCUCAGCUUGCUGGGUGGAUGAGUGGCGAACGGGUGAGUAACACGUGAGUAACCUGCCCCCUUCUUUGGGAUAACGCCCGGAAACGGGUGCUAAUACUGGAUAUUCACUGAUCUUCGCAUGGGGGUUGGUGGAAAGGUUUUUUCUGGUGGGGGAUGGGCUCGCGGCCUAUCAGCUUGUUGGUGGGGUGAUGGCCUACCAAGGCUUUGACGGGUAGCCGGCCUGAGAGGGUGACCGGUCACAUUGGGACUGAGAUACGGCCCAGACUCCUACGGGAGGCAGCAGUGGGGAAUAUUGCACAAUGGGCGAAAGCCUGAUGCAGCGACGCCGCGUGAGGGAUGGAGGCCUUCGGGUUGUAAACCUCUUUCGCUCAUGGUCAAGCCGCAACAUUGGUUGUGGUGAGGGUAGUGUGUAAAGAAGCGCCGGCUAACUACGUG
rnacentral:rRNA from 1 species